AAGUUACUAGAGAUAGUUUCGUGCCUUCGGGAACUCAAACACAGGUGCUGCAUGGCUGUCGUCAGCUCGUGUCGUGAGAUGUUGGGUUAAGUCCCGCAACGAGCGCAACCCUUGUUUUUAGUUGCCUUUUAUGGAACUCUAAAAAGACUGCUGGUUAUAAACCGGAGGAAGGUGGGGAUGACGUCAAGUCAGCAUGCCCCUUACACCCUGGGCUACACACGUGCUACAUUGGGCGAGACAAUGAGAUGCAAAUCUGCGAAGAUUAGCUAAUCUAUAAACUCGUUCUAAGUUCGGAUUGUAGGCUGCAACUCGCCUACAUGAAGGUGGAAUCGCUAGUAAUCGCUGGUCAGCUACACAGCGGUGAAUUCGUUCCCGGGCCUUGUACACACCGCCCGUCACACCAUGGGAGUGGGAUGCAAAAGAAGUAGUUAGUUUAACCUUCGGGAGAACGAUUACCACUUUGUGUUUCAUGACUGGGGUGAAGUCGUAACAAGGUAACCGUACUGGAAGGUGCGGUUGGAUCACCUCCU
rnacentral:rRNA from 16 species